UGGGGAAUUGUUCGCAAUGGGCGCAAGCCUGACGACGCAACGCCGCGUGGAGGAUGAAGGUCUUCGGAUUGUAAACUCCUGUUGAUCGGGACGAAAAGCUUCGACCUAACACGUCGAGGACUGACGGUACCGGUUGAGGAAGCCACGGCUAACUCUGUGCCAGCAGCCGCGGUAAUACAGAGGUGGCAAGCGUUGUUCGGAAUUACUGGGCGUAAAGGGCGCGUAGGCGGCCUUCUAAGUCGGACGUGAAAGCCCCAGGCUUAACCUGGGAACUGCGUCCGAUACUGGGAGGCUUGGAUUCGGGAGAGGGAUGUGGAAUUCCAGGUGUAGCGGUGAAAUGCGUAGAUAUCUGGAGGAACACCGGUGGCGAAGGCGGCAUCCUGGACCGAGAUCGACGCUGAGGCGCGAAAGCUAGGGGAGCAAACG
rnacentral:rRNA from 1 species